CAGUCGCCGCGGGAAUACGUAGGGUGCGAUCGUUAAUCGGAAUUACUGGGCGUAAAGCGUGCGCAGGCGGUUAUAUAAGACAGAUGUGAAAUCCCCGGGCUCAACCUGGGACCUGCAUUUGUGACUGUAUAGCUAGAGUACGGUAGAGGGGGAUGGAAUUCCGCGUGUAGCAGUGAAAUGCGUAGAUAUGCGGAGGAACACCGAUGGCGAAGGCAAUCCCCUGGACCUGUACUGACGCUCAUGCACGAAAGCGUGGGGAGCAAACAGGAUUAGAUACCCCGGUAGUCCCUGUCUCUUAUAC
rnacentral:rRNA from 1 species